ensembl:lncRNA
UUUUGAGUCUUUGGGCGUGUCCAACAGUGGGCUUCGCAUCCUCCCAACCUAUUCUAGGGAAAUAACCUUUCAGAUCGUUUCCAGCCCUUCUCAGAUCCGGGUGCACAGCAGCGCCUGGGCGUGGCCGCGUAGACCAGGCAGACACUGCUGACCCCAGGGGCCACCGGCCCCGCUGUCCCUCACCAGGCCCGCGCACCGAGAGUGACGGUGGUCAGCAAGCCAGGCCGACGCCACCCGCCAGUCCUCAGCCCCGCCGGCAGCGGUGACAGCGCCCGCCGGACCUCAAGGGCGUCUCCGGGCGGUCCCCGCCGAACCGGCCGGCAAAGCGCACCUGCAGCUCUCGCCAGUCACUGCCCACCUCACCUCGGGAUCUCAGAGACCACUGAACCUGGUCGCAGACACUCCGUCUGUCUCCAGUCAAUGGAGACGCGAAGCGGAACGAACGCUGGGCCUACGCACGCUUAGAGAUACGAGUCUGCGACCAAUCAGAAAGGAUCGUCCGAUUGCCUAACCAAUCAUUGUGCUGCUGCUCUGCCUGACAGCCUACGUCACGAACAGUCGCCUUAACAACCGCCCACACCUCUCACCCUGGCGGAGAACCGGUACCGCACCAUCUCUCACCACAGCUCAGCCAACCAAUAGCCAGCCGAGUACCGGCGCCAGGGCCCGCCUAUUGGCCCGCGAGCCGCGGGGGCGCACGCGUGGAAGCGGUUUAGGCUCGGUGAUAGGGGAGAACGAGUGGAGUGGCCCGCCGCUCGGGACCUGACCUGCGGUCUUCCCGCCUCUGAGGGGACUCUGAGGGGGCGGUGGUAGGAAGCGGGACUGGACCUCGAGAACGAACCCCGGCUUAGGCUGAGGACAGAAAGCUGUUAUCUUAGGGGCGACAGAUGAGGGAAGUAGAGAUGGUCCUGCAAAAUGAGGAACACGAGCAGGGUGGUGUCGGCCGGGUGCCUCGCGACAGAGGCCUCACUCACCCUGCAGUGCAGGCGCCCGGGUCGCCAUCCGUGUCUCCCCGGCGCUUGCCGCUGCGUCCUCUCUGCGGUCCCUCCGCUCUCCGACCGGUGCAGGCUAGUGUCAUCUCACCUUUCCUGCCUGUCCCCCCACGUGCCCUCAGGAGUCGCUCCGGUCUGCUGGGCUCGCUCCAUCCCACAACCCUAGGUUCUCAACUCUUAAUUCGGUGAAGAAAACUGAAGUCGACUAGCCAAAGAUUGCAAACUCAUCAGAAGCAAAGUAAAAGAAGGAAAGAAAAGGAAGUAGAGAAGGAAAAAGGAAAGAGUAUUUCCCCAUACCUCUCCUUAGGAGCUUCUGCAGCUUCACAGAAACAGUUGGAGAGCAGGUCUUAGAGCUUACAUGGAAGAGAACCAAGCUCCUUAGAAACAAGGUGAGCACACAGGACUGGAAGAUCCAGGGAGAAAUGGCAGCAGAGCCCACAGCCUUUAUGAACUGCAAAAACAGCAUGGAGUUUUGCUCCAAGGGCUCUCCUUGCAAUGCAGGCAAGAGACUGGUAGGGAUUCAAGUGUGGGUGCCAGCCAUACCACCAGAGAGUGGUUGAUCAUGUCCCAUUUGGGGAAUGGGUUGAUUAUUUAAAUUACUUCAGGACUCUCAGUAUUACCCUCUCACAGUGUGACUGGGUGAGAAACAGGAGAUAGCCAUGGACAAGAG